rnacentral:rRNA from 1 species
GACGUAGGGCGCGAGCGUUGUCCGGAUUAUUGGGCGUAAAGAGCUCGUAGGCGGCUUGUCGCGUCGAAUGUGAAAUCUCGGGGCUCAACUCCGAGCUUGCAUUCGAUACGGGCAGGCUAGAGUUCGGUAGGGGAGACUGGAAUUCCUGGUGUAGCGGUGAAAUGCGCAGAUAUCAGGAGGAACACCGGUGGCGAAGGCGGGUCUCUGGGCCGAUACUGACGCUGAGGAGCGAAAGCGUGGGGAGCGAACAGG